rnacentral:rRNA from 1 species
CCCGCCCCCUUUGGAUUAAACCCGGUCCAGAUUCUUACGGGAGGCMGCCAUUGGGGAUUUUGCCUCAUGGGCGCAAGCCUGAUGCAGCAACGCCGCUGAGGGACGACGGCCUUCGGAUGUUAACCUUUUUUUAGCAGGGAAGAAGCGAAAAGUGACGGUACCUGCAGAAAAAGCGCCGGCUAACUACGUGCCAGCAGCCGCGGUAAUACGUAGGGGCGCAGCGUUAUCCGGAAUUAUUGGGCGUAAAGAGCUCGUAGGCGGUUUGUCGCGUCUGCUGUGAAAUCCGGAGGCUCAACCUCCGGCCUGCAGUGGGUACGGGCAGACUAGAGUGCGGUAGGGGAGAUUGGAAUUCCUGGUGUAGCGGUGGAAUGCGCAGAUAUCAGGAGGAACACCGAUGGCGAAGGCAGAUCUCUGGGCCGUAACUGACGCUGAGGAGCGAAAGGGUGGGGAGCAAACAGGCUUAGAUACCCUGGUAGUCCACCCCGUAAACGUUGGGAACUAGUUGUGGGGUCCAUUCCACGGAUUCCGUGACGCAGCUAACGCAUUAAGUUCCCCGCCUGGGGAGUACGGCCGCAAGGCUAAAACUCAAAGGAAUUGACGGGGACCCGCACAAGCGGCGGAGCAUGCGGAUUAAUUCGAUGCAACGCGAAGAACCUUACCAAGGCUUGACAUAUACGAGAACGGGCCAGAAAUGGUCAACUCUUUGGACACUCGUAAACAGGUGGUGCAUGGUUGUCGUCAGCUCGUGUCGUGAGAUGUUGGGUUAAGUCCCGCAACGAGCGCAACCCUCGUUCUAUGUUGCCAGCACGUAAUGGUGGGAACUCAUGGGAUACUGCCGGGGUCAACUCGGAGGAAGGUGGGGAUGACGUCAAAUCAUCAUGCCCCUUAUGUCUUGGGCUUCACGCAUGCUACAAUGGCCGGUACAAAGGGCUGCAAUACCGCGAGGUGGAGCGAAUCCCAAAAAGCCGGUCCCAGUUCGGAUUGAGGUCUGCAACUCGACCUCAUGAAGUCGGAGUCGCUAGUAAUCGCAGAUCAGCAACGCUGCGGUGAAUACGUUCCCGGGUCUUGUACACACCGCCCGUCAAGUCAUGAAAGUCGGUAACACCUGAAGCCGGUGGCCUAACCCUUGUGGAGGGAGCCUCGAAGUGAUCAU